rnacentral:pre_miRNA from 1 species
AGAUCCUAAGACGUAUUUAGAUGCUUAACAUUAGAUACCUAAAUAUCUUUCAGGAUCUGG